UGGCUCAGAUGGUAAAGAAUUUGCCUGCAAUGCAAGAGACCCAGGUUCGAUCCCUGG
rnacentral:tRNA from 1 species